AAUGAACGCUGGCGGCAGGCCUAAUACAUGCAAGUCGAACGAGUGGCGGACGGGUGUGUAAUGUCUGGGAAACUGCCUGAUGGAGGGGGAUACAUACUGGAAACGGUAGCUAAUACCGCAUACCAGCGGAUGUGCCCAGAUGGGAUGAGCUAGUAGGUGGGGUAAAGGCUCACCUAGGCGACGAUCCCUAGCUGGUCUGAGAGGAUGACGGGCCACACUGGAACUGAGACACGGUCCAGACUCCUACGGGAGGCAGCAGUGGGGAAUAUUGCGCAAUGGGCGCAAGCCUGAUGCAGCAAUGCCGCGUGUAUGAAGAAGGCCUUCGGGUUGUAAAGUACUUUCAGCGGGGAGGCGUUACCCGCAGAAGAAGCACCGGCUAACUCCGUGCCAGCAGCCGCGGUAAUAC
rnacentral:rRNA from 1 species